UAUGAUGAGCUAUUUAGAUGACGAGUCUGAAAUGAUAUUUUGAACCAGAUGAAAUAUGUUUUUUAUUU